rnacentral:lncRNA from 1 species
CCGUUAAGUCCCGUUUGUUGCCCCCCCUCUCUCUCUCUCUCUCUUUCUCUCUUCGUAUCUUCCCAUCUCUUCUCCCACCUCUCCCUAUCUCACCCUCUCUCUCUGCAUGCCCUAGUCCAGACUCCUAAACCUCGCUCCGUGGCGCUCGCCGCCUUUCUUCUCUGUGCACGCAACCCACCUCCCACGUCCCCCCGCUCUCUACAUCGCCCCUCUCUAUCAAAC